rnacentral:rRNA from 1 species
UACGUAGGGACCGAGCGUUGUCCGGAAUCAUUGGGCGUAAAGAGCGUGUAGGCGGCCACUUAAGUCCUGCGUGAAAUCUUGCGGCUCAACCGCAAGCGGUCGUGGGAAACUGGGUGGCUAGAGUGCGGGAGAGGAGAGUGGAAUUCCUGGUGUAGCGGUGGAAUGCGCAGAUAUCAGGAGGAACACCAAUUGCGAAGGCAGCUCGCUGGGACGUAACUGACGCUGAGACGCGAAAGCGUGGGGAGCAAACAGG